rnacentral:misc_RNA from 1 species
GAUGGAAGAACGCAGCGAAAUGCGAUAAUUAAUGUGAAUUGCAGAAUUCCGUGAAUCAUCGAGUCUUUGAACGCACAUUGCGCCUCAUGGCAUUCCGUGAGGCAUGCCCAUCUCAGCGUUAGAAAAUAUUCUCAAAUUUUAGUUUUGUGCUAAAAUUUGGAUCAUGUCAAGGAAGCUAUUACUAUUAUUGUGAUCGCUCUUUGGAAAUUGAUAGGUCUUUGAGUUGCUACUCAUAGAACGUGAUGAAUCUUUCUUCGUUCUAUUGUAAUUCACUCUGGUAGUCCUAAAACUUGUAUGCCUGUGGCAUAUCUUGUAAUUUGACCUGAGAUUGGGUAGGGAUACCCGCUGAACUUAAGCAUAUCAAUAAGCGGAGGA